rnacentral:lncRNA from 1 species
CGCGGUGCGGGCGGGCAGCAGACGGCGUUGCGGGGGGUCGCCGGUCGUCGGGGGAAGCUCUGGCAGGGGCAGCGCGACAGCGCGGAUCCGGUGACGCGGUUGGCGCGGCGAGGCGAGGUCCGUGUCGACGCCUAGGACGACCAAGACCUCCGGCGGCGUGGUCCGAACUCCGGCGAGGACGGCGGGUGAUGUUCCGGGUGCUACAGGGCAUCAAAAGCGAAACCGCGUGCGUCAAAACAUGCGCGAGGACGAGGAGGUCAUGAAAUUGGAGGGCUCGGGCAACAAGGCUCACCGGGGUGAUGGCCGUGUCUCCAAAACGGCGGCGGCGGCGGAAAACUCCGGCGAGCAAUUAGACGGCGUGGGCGUGGGGUUGAGCAAGGGGGUGCGGGGGAAAUGAGAGAGGGUGAGGCCCUCUUUAUAGUGACGCGAGAGGUGUGGUUAAUGGGGUGCUCUAAAUCCCGGAUUGAAGACAAGCAAUCAAGUCGGUCUUAGCUAGAUUCAGUCGGGUCGGCCUGGUUUCUCUUUUUUUUUAUCUUUUCUUUUCUCUUUUUCUUUUUCUGUUUUUCCCUCCUAACUUUUGAUUUAUAACUCCAAAUGACUCCAAAUAAAAUCCAGAAAAUUUGUAAAAUCCUAUCCUUCAAUGCUAAAGCAUCUGGGGCUGGAUUCUUUCCAAAAGCAAAAAAAUUUUAAAAUAGUUUUGCUUAAAAUAGUUGCCUCUAAUGCAAUAAUAUUUAGGAAUAAAUAGUUUUUCAACUCCAAAUCAAUUUCCAAAAAUUAUGGGGUAGCUUAUCUUGAUGCAAUAAACCCUUUUAUAAUGGCUAAGCCCUCAUGGGUUGAGAAACUCCAAAUGAACCAAAGAUGAUUAGAAAGUAAAGGCUAAAUAAAAAGGAUUUUUAACUUUUGUUAAAUGGUCUAUAUUGCUCAAAGUGCAUAAAUGGCAUGA